UGGACUUUCUGAGGAGAAUGAAGCAGGAGGAGCUGGCUGACCGUCUGCAGAGCAAACUUCCAGCUUCAGUUUGUCAUCAUAACCUUAAAUCUGCUCUGAAGAAGAAGUUCCAGUGUGUGUUUGAGGGCAUCGCUAAAGCAGGAAACCCAACCCUUCUGAAUCAGAUCUACACAGAGCUCUACAUCACAGAGGGAGGGACUGCAGA